AUUGAACGCUGGCGGCAGGCCUAACACAUGCAAGUCGAGCGAGCGGCGGACGGGUGAGUAAUGUAUGGGGACUGCCCGAUCGAGGGGGAUAACUACUGGAAACGGUAGCUAAUACCGCAUACUAUCGGAUACCCCAUAUGGGAUUAGCUAGUGGGUGAGGUAAUGGCUCAACAAGGCGACGAUCCCUAGCUGGUCUGAGAGGUUGAUCCGCGACACUUGGACUGAGACACGGCCCAGACUCCGACGGAGGCAGCAGUGGGGAAGAGUGCACAAGGGGCGAAAGCCUGAUCCAGCAAUACCGCGGGUGUGAAGAAGGCCCUAGGGUUGUAAAGCACUUUGGUUAGGGAGAGGUUAACUAAAGAAUAAGCACCGGCUAACUCCGUGCCAGCCGCCGCGGUAAUAC
rnacentral:rRNA from 1 species